rnacentral:rRNA from 1 species
UACAGAGGGGGCAAGCGUUAUUCGGAAUUAUUGGGCGUAAAGGGCGCGUAGGCGGCCUGGCAAGUGGAAGGUGAAAUCCCUCGGCUUAACCGAGGAACUGCCCUCCAAACUGCUUGGCUUGAGUCCGGGAGAGGUGAGUGGAAUUCCCAGUGUAGCGGUGAAAUGCGUAGAUAUUGGGAGGAACACCAGUGGCGAAGGCGGCUCACUGGACCGGAACUGACGCUGAGUCGCGAAAGCGUGGGGAGCAAACGGG